rnacentral:rRNA from 1 species
GUGGGGAAUCUUGCGCAAUGGGCGAAAGCCUGACGCAGCAACGCCGCGUGCGGGAUGAAGGCCUUCGGGUUGUAAACCGCUUUCAGCAGGGACGAAAAUGACGGUACCUGCAGAAGAAGCUCCGGCUAACUACGUGCCAGCAGCCGCGGUAAUACGUAGGGAGCAAGCGUUGUCCGGAUUUAUUGGGCGUAAAGAGCUCGUAGGCGGUUUCGUAAGUCGAGUGUGAAAAAUCUGGGCUUAACCCAGUGGAGCACUCGAUACUGCGAUGACUUGAGUCUGGUAGAGGAGUGUGGAAUUCCUGGUGUAGCGGUGAAAUGCGCAGAUAUCAGGAGGAACACCAACGGCGAAGGCAGCACUCUGGGCCAGUACUGACGCUGAGGAGCGAAAGCGUGGGGAGCAAACAGGAUUAGAAACCCGUGUAGUCC